rnacentral:tmRNA from 1 species
GGGGACGAUUUGGUUUCGACAGACUAUUUAGGAUAGGGUUAAGCACGUUGUGGGGCAGGUCCACAUAAAUAAGGCAAGAAAAAUAAACGCAAAUAAUAAUUUAAGAGCAGCUGCUUGCUAAUUUAAAGCAGUAAUUUUAUUAAAUUUUCCACCAAAGUUUAAUAAAGUUUCAGUUACUGGUGGUAAAACAAAUAAAUUGCCUAGUUUAUUUGUUUCAUUAUUGGCUCGUUAUUAUAAUUUUUGUUAAUUUAUUUGUAAUAAUUAAAUUAAAAAUUGACUAAACGUGUAGAAGUAUUUUAUUACAUUAGCCUGGACAUGGGUUCAACUCCCAUCGUCUCCACCA